rnacentral:rRNA from 1 species
UUGGUCUCAGAUCAGACAAGAAAACCCGCUGAACUUAAGCAUAUUAAUAAGCGGAGGAAGGGAAACUAAUAAGGAUUCCCUCAGUAACGGCGAGUGAAGUGGGAUGAGCUCAAAUUUUAAAUCUGUCUCUUUUAAAAAGGACUGAAUUGUAGUUUCGAGAAGUGUUUUCGAGCGAGGGGCAAGUCAAAGUCUUCAGGAUUUAAGCGUCAUAGAGGGUGAGAGUCCCGUUAAAGACUUGCUACUUCUAAGCUUGUGUGAUACACUUUCAAAGAGUCAGGUUGUUUGGGAUUGCAGCCUAAAUUGGGUGGUAAUUACCAUCUAAAGCUAAAUAUCGGUGGGAGACCGAUAGUGAACAAGUACCGUGAGGGAAAGAUGAAAAGAACUUUGAAAAGAGAGUUAAAGAGUGCCUGAAAUUGUCGAAAGGGAAGCGCUUGAAGCCAGUCAUGCGGCAGAGAAUCAACAAAUUACUUUGUGGUAAUUGUGCAAUUCUCUUUAAACAUGAAGGAUUUCGUCCUUUAUGGUCGCGAGUCAACAUCAAUUUAUUUCGCGGGAAAAGAGAAGAGUAGAGACUCUUUGAGUAAUACUUUUUUUAAAUACCGCGA